CCAGCUUCAAUCUGGACCUGCCUCACCCGCGGCCGAUUCCUCGGCCACGGUGGAGAGUCUGACUUUGGCUGCAGCUGCCAGGUCCCCCCUGCCCAUGGUCACGUUGGCAGCACCGGGCGCUGCUGACUCUUGUUCCAGCUGCGAGUAAGAAAACUGAAUCAUGGAAAAAUUGCAAAUGAGCCAUGAACACCACGAAUCCUGAGAUAGUGUUUUUUUCCUGCACGCGAAUAAUGAAAUGCUGAAGAACUCACCCAAGAGCUCCAUGGACACUUACUUCCAGCCAAGGUUGGAGUCGUGCAGCCCUGUGAAUUUAUGGGGUAGCUCAGUUCACCACUAAAAUUUUUAUGAGUCAGUAUCUUCUGAAAAAGUAAUGGGGAAAUGAAGCAGUAACGUCGGAAAGCUGCAGAGCUUUCCAUUAUGCCGCGGUCCUUCUCCCGCAGUCUGUCCUUGCUGCAGCUGGGCGAUGUGGGGAGAGGCUGGAAAACCGGCCGAGAAGAGUCCAGGCAAGGAGGCAAAGCCAUGCGGCGCCUUCAGUGCUGAGGACUAGCCUGGAAGAGACGAAAACGGAGAGGUGGCUUCUGACAAAUAUGACUUGUCACUGACUUUUUCAAGGUGCUUAAUGAAUAUCGCUGAGCGUGUGAGCAUGAGUCAAGUUUGUCAUGUCACCGUUAAUCCUGGAUGGUGUGGCGGCUGUGACUCGUUCCUCCUGAACUUUUGCUCUGUAUAAGGUUAGUGUGGACAAAUUAUCACCUAAUGAGUUGUAACCAGCCUGAUGCACCAAAUGUGAACUUUCAGGAUUAAAGCUGUUUUCUGUGUUUUCUGUCACCAUCCCUGAAUAUCAUUCCUGGGAAAAAUGUAAGCAGUCAAGUCAAGAGGCUCUUUGUUUUGCCAUCCUCGAGACUCACCAAGUCCUCAGAGCUUGAGAGAUACAUAAAUGUGCUGGUCUCCUAUAAAAUCUAUUAAAUGGGAUGUGAAGGAGCCACAAAGUCCUCGUGAAUUCCUCACAAAACCUCCUCUCGCACAAAAUCACCUGGAAGGUUUCUCCUCGGCUGCAGUUCCCCGUUUGCCACCAGUGGUUUGUGCCCGUGAGCGGAUGACGGUGAAGGGCCGUGUGUUUUCGUGGGCGGUGUGCAGAGGGGACGUAAAGGUGACAACUGCCCGCUUCAUCCUGGUCCUGCGCCUGCUGUGUGGAGUGACAGCUCCAGGCUCCAGGGCUCUCGGACACCACCUCUCCCACCGCUGCAGCUCACUGAAUUAUCCUAGCAGAAUCCUUGAAGCUCUUUGCACUGUUCAGGGCUUUUUAUUCUUCUCUUUACAUGCUUUGUGUCAGCAAAGGAUGCCUUUUCCUUGGUCAGAGCAUCACUGUCCAUGUCUGUGACACCAGAGAAGGUAAAUCCAAACUGUGGUGUCAUUCCCAAGCAAAGGAAAAGCCUGGAAAACAGGCACACUAGGAAAACUUGUUAAUUCUCUUUUUUUAAAACAUUUUCUUGUCUUUUUAAUAUCUUUGUGAUGAUUAGUACAUAUUUCCAAACCUCAUCAGGCUGUGCAGCACUGCAGGUCCCUAAAAAUCCUCCUCUCUUACCCUGGUGUUAGUUAUCAGUGUGAAAUGUGUAGAAAUAUCAUUCCUCAACUCUUAAAAUCUCACAGCGAGGACCCCCAGGAGAGAAAACAGCUGCAGCUUCAGGAUUGGCUGUGCAGUGCCAUGUUUUGAUCUGAAAUUCAAAUGCAUCUGUAAAACCAAAGCCUUCCAGGAGUGUCACAGAGCUGGGCCAAGAGUUUUCCCAGCGCAGAGCGCGUUUCGCUCCGUUCUGUUUGCCAUUCCUCUGCAAAACAAGCUGCCUUGUCAAUAUUCCCAGCAGGUGUCAUGUACAGGAUAUGGCAGUUUAUUUAUAGCCAGUUCAUUUUCAUUUUCCUCUUAGCGGGGAUGAGAUCCUAUGCUGAGAUUUCGCUCCUUGGGGAACCUGUCUCAUUUCCGCUGCAGGAGAACUCGAUGCCUCCCGCAAAUGAAUGAAUUGCUGAGACAUGAGCACGCCGAUGCCGCAUGGGGCCUGCUUCCCCGCGAGGACUGGCGUUGUUUCAGUUGCUUUGCCUCCUCCGUAAUUGCGUAUUCUGCGCACAGGCUGUUCCAGUGGUUCCAGAUGUGGCGGGGCAUCACGGGGCUUUCGCAACAGAGAGAAACGUUGGAUGUCUCAUCCAAGCUGCGGGGUGAUGUUCUUAGAAACUCGGCCCAAACUCGGCCCGCUCUGGUGUUGCCAAGUGAUGCUUUAAAGUAAAGGGACCCACGUUUCUUCUUGCACUGGUGUAAAAGGCGGCAUAAACAUGCAAGAAAGGAAGGUUCGAGCUCUCAUUUGGACAGUAACAUGCUGGCUGUCUCUGAG
rnacentral:lncRNA from 1 species